rnacentral:rRNA from 1 species
CCUACGGGUGGCAGCAGUGAGGAAUAUUGGUCAAUGGACGCAAGUCUGAACCAGCCAUGCCGCGUGCAGGAAGACGGCUCUAUGAGUUGUAAACUGCUUUUGUACGAGGGUAAACGCAGAUACGCGUAUCUGUCUGAAAGUAUCGUACGAAUAAGGAUCGGCUAACUCCGUGCCAGCAGCCGCGGUAAUACGGAGGAUUCAAGCGUUAUCCGGAUUUAUUGGGUUUAAAGGGUGCGUAGGCGGUCGGAUAAGUUAGAGGUGAAAACCCGAGGCUUAACUUCGGAAUUGCCUCUGAUACUGGUCGGCUAGAGAGUAGUUGCGGUAGGCGGGAUGGAUUGUGUAGCGGUUAAAUGCUUAGAGAUCAUACAGAACACCGAUUGCGAAGGCAGCUUACCAAGCUACUUCUGACGUUGAGGCACGAAAGCGUGGGGAGCAAACAGGAUUAGAUACCCGUGUAGUC